AACUAAAGUAUUAAACAUCCAAGUUAAGUUUUUGAAAGUUGUCUAGAAAAAAUACAGAUGUGUACACAUAGGUCAUUUGCAUGGUUGGUGACAAUACAGACUAACACUUUUGUAUCUUGUAUCUUCAUUCAAGGUACAUGAAAACUUUAAGUACAUGUAGAAGAAUACUCAAGCAAUAGUCUAGGAGUAAAUAUUUAACACACUCAAGCUCCUUGCACGUGAGAGCGUGUAUCUUUUUUAUUUGAAGUGCACCAUGCACACACACACCUAAAGCAAACUGAAAAUAACCACCAUCAUUUGCCCUGUAGUAUGUAUGGCCAGUACUCACCAAAAUGAUUGGUUAUAUGCAAAAAUUAAGGGAGUGGGCAGGCUGGGAAGAAAUGGACAAUGAAUUUUAUGUCUUGAAGUUCAAGGUUAAAGUGAGCUCAAUUCACUAACACUCUAAAGCUUCAUAAACAGUCUAGAGAAAAGGGGGCACAUUACCUAGAUAAAGUGGUCUGCCUGGCACGUGGAAUUCAACAUAAACAUACAAAAGGCAGGCAUUAAAAAAAAAAAAGUAGCUUUGGGAGCAGAGUGCAGUUUGGAGUCACACCCUGAGUUCUAAAGUCAGCAGAAGUACAAAACCCCAUGCUGACACCCACAUGGGGGUCGCCUCCCCGCACCCUCCACAGUACCAAAACCAACCCCUGCUCACAGAGGUCACCACCAAAGCCACACACACUCCAUACAAAGCAGCUCAUUGUAACCAAAAGCUUCCCAGAGCUGGUUAGUGCUGAAAUACAAUGAAGGUGGUGUAAGACAUGAACUAGUUAAGGCAGCAUUUUUUUCACAGGAGAACAGGGGACCUUAUUUGCAAGGGAGCAGGAUUUUAUGUGUCAAGCAUUUAAAA